rnacentral:lncRNA from 1 species
AGCUGGCGGGUGUGGGGCACGUCGUGGUCAUCUACGACUCUGCCGCGGGGUCGCCGGAGCCGUCCACCAACAACGUGCUCGACGGGCUCACCUCCUUCUUCAACAACAUUUUCUCUCCGGCGAAGCCGUCGCUGACCGUGGGACAGUUCCUGGAGAAGGUGGCGAAGGAGACGGAGGUCAGCUACACGCUCGUCAAGGCGAGCCUGGCCGACGACUACACGGCGGAGCAGGUCGAGCCCCGCGGUCUGGUGGUGGCGGGGGAAGGGGCCGGUGCCGCUGCCGGGGCGGGCACCGCCGGCGACUACAAAGUACGGAACGAAAGUAAUGAGGGGGAAUUCAUUCCGGGAGGUCUUCCGCGUUUACCUUGCACAGUGAGGAGGAAUUCAUUCCUCCCGUUUCCAGGCGUUUCUGACGCGGGUCUGUCUUCCUCCUCGGCAGGUCCUCAAGUCGCAG